UUCACCGACUUGCUUGGGUAGGGGCUCAGUGCGGAUACUCAGUCAUGAAGUCCGGGUAGCGACUUCUCUUGGGUGGCCGUGACCCUAGGUUCCGGGGGCCGGACUUCAGGUGAUUCACAAGAUGCUGCUCUCCAUAGGGAUGCUCAUGCUGUCCGCCACACAAGUCUAUACCAUCUUGACUGUGCAACUCUUUGCAUUCCUGAACCUGCUGCCCGUAGAGGCAGACAUUUUAGCAUAUAAUUUUGAAAAUGCAUCUCAGACAUUUGAGGACCUUCCAGCAAGAUUUGGUUAUAGACUACCAGCUGAAGGCUUAAAGGGUUUUCUGAUUAACUCGAAACCAGAGAAUGCUUGUGAACCUAUAGUGCCUCCACCACUGAAAGACAAUUCAUCUGGUACUUUUAUCGUAUUGAUUAGAAGACUUGAUUGUAAUUUUGAUAUAAAGGUUUUAAAUGCACAGAGAGCAGGAUACAAAGCAGCCAUAGUUCACAAUGUAGACUCUGAUGACCUGAUUAGCAUGGGAUCCAACGACAGGGCCACGUUAUCUUAGUUCCAGAACUGAGCCUUCCUUUGGAGUACUAUCUGAUCCCCUUCCUCAUCAUAGUGGGCAUCUGCCUCAUCUUAAUAGUUAUUUUUAUG
rnacentral:lncRNA from 1 species